rnacentral:rRNA from 1 species
AAGCUCGUAGUUGAAUUUCGGGGUUAGUAGGUUGGUCAUGCCUCUGGUAUGUACUGGUCUCACUGAUUCCUCCUUCCUUAUGAACCGUAAUGCCAUUAAUUUGGUGUUGCGGGGAAUUUGGACUGUUACUUUGAAAAAAUUAGAGUGUUUAAAGCAAGCUAACGCUUGAAUACAUUAGCAUGGAAUAAUGAAAUAGGACGUUCGAUCCUAUUUUGUUGGUUUCUAGGAUUGACGUAAUGAUUAAUAGGGAUAGUUGGGGGCAUUAGUAUUCAAUUGUCAGAGGUGAAAUUCUUGGAUUUAUUGAAGACUAACUACUGCGAAAGCAUUUGCCAAGGAUGUUUUCAUUAAUCAAGAACGAAAGUUAGGGGAUCGAAGACGAUCAGAUACCGUCGUAGUCUUAACCAUAAACUAUGCCGACUAGGGAUCGGAUGAUGUUAAUUUUUUAAUGACUCAUUCGGCGCCUUACGGGAAACCAAAGUGUUUGGGUUCCGGGGGGAGUAUGGUCGCAAGGCUGAAACUUAAAGGAAUUGACGGAAGGGCACCACCAGGGGUGGAGCCUGCGGCUUAAUUUGACUCAACACGGGGAAA